GUGCUCGCUUCGGCAGCACAUAUACUAAAACUGGAAUGAUACAGAGGAGAUCCGCAUGGCCCCUGUUAGGAACUAUAUAGAUGUCUAACCAACGUACUGUAUACUU
rfam:Pteropus alecto contig27256, whole genome shotgun sequence.